GGGGACCUGUGUUGGGGAAGAGGUCAGAUCCUCUGACCUGAGGAAUGAGCCUCUUUCCCACAGCCCAGAGACCUGCAGUCUCGGGAGGAGACUCGAGAUGCUGCCUGGAGGAAGAGGGGCUGGGAUGAAAACGUCUGCUAUACAGGCCCCUUGGUGCGGCACAUGGAGUCUCGGAUCAUGAUCCCCUUGAAGAUUUCACCUCUUCAGUGAUGCUGCUGUUACCUCCACCUCUUUCCCCUUCUCUCUCAGGGCAGCCUGGGGCAGAGGAACUUCUGGUCCUGCUGUCUUGGUUUUCUCUGGGCUCUGGGAGGACUCUGACAGGUAGAGAGAGCUCAGCUCAAAGAUGACAAGGUUCUGAGGAGUUACAGUUCUGUCCAGAACUUCCUACCCUCCCCGCCCAUGUCCUUCUCUUUGCUGGAAGUCGUUUCUAAGUUCCGAGUGAAGAAUAGCAACCUUCUAGGUCUUGUCACAUUACCUCCCUAAGAUUACUCAUUUUAAGGCCUCCUGUCCCCAGAUUAUCACCAUGGAAAUCCUUGAUUUAGCUUAGUUGCACAGAAGGUA